UACGUAGGGACCAAGCGUUGUUCGGAUUUACUGGGCGUAAAGGGCGCGUAGGCGGCAUGACAAGUCACUUGUGAAAUCUCCGGGCUUAACUCGGAACGGUCAAGUGAUACUGUCGCGCUAGAGUGCGGAAGGGGCAAUCAGAAUUCUUGGUGUAGCGGUGAAAUGCGCAGAUAUCAGGAGGAACACCAAUGGCGAAGGCAGCUCGCUGGGACGGUACUGACGCUGAGACGCGAAAGCGUGGGGAGCAAACAGG
rnacentral:rRNA from 1 species